AGAGAGGCAAGCGAAUGCUGGAGCAGCUGUGCAGGAGGGGAAGGCGGCCGCAUUCUGAACCUGCUGGGCCAGUCAGAUUAGAAGUCAAAUCCGCUUAUUCUGGCUCCCCCGCCAGCCCCAGGGCCACUGCCUAAUAGCCUGGACACUGGGGCUUAAAACCUGGGAAACAAAACAGUUCGGAGGGCAGUGAGACAGGUUGUGUAUAUUUGGGCAGCCUUUUGGGUGAUGGAGCUUAUGAGGGGCUAAGGCCCCCUGAACCCCUUGCAUCCGCACUGGUGUAGGCCUACCUGGUGCCACAGAACUGAGCACAUAAAGAGUGUACAUGGGGUUGACCAAGAAAUGCCUCCUGGAGGAGAAGAGUUCGAAGCAUGCUUGGAAAGAGGAGAGUAGGAAUGGCUCGUACAAGCCGGAGAGGCUGAUGUAAACUUGGGGGCAGGGAGGACACUCGGAGGGCACCUUGGUACCAUGAGUGCCCCUUCGUAACCGGGACAGGAGUUCCAGCAAGGGCGGCGCCUGCCUGUGGUGCGAUGGAGAAACUGAGGCACAGAGUUCCUGUUAUAUGGUCCCAACCACUAGGAAGUGGUGAAGCCAGGAUUCACUCCGAGGCUGAGAUGUGCCCUUGACCUUCACCCUGCACUGCCUCUACUGCUUAUUGAAUCCCCUAUACCUUCUCUGUACUGUCCGUUACCAAGUGGGACACUUGGCUGGAGGUGUAGAAUCGCAGGGGCUUGAGGGGAACUUGCCAAGCCAUCUGCCCAAGGCAGGAAACAGGUCUGGGCCCAAACCCUGGGGCCCAUUCCCACUUAUCAGCUCCAGCCUUGGGAAUCCCAGGACGGAUCCCACUCCCCAGAGUCAGUCCCACGUCUGGAAAUGUCAAGGUAGCCUGGCCUCGAAGCCAGAGGCCUGACUGGGAGACUGCCCCGAGCGUACUGGAAUCCAGGAGAAGGGCAUUUGCAACCCCGGAACCACGGCUCGCCACAUUCUUCUCCGCUUCUCGGAGGAGCGCUUCUCCCCUGUGGGCCAUACAUCGCCGCCCUGCUUGGCAGAGAAGAGACCCAAGGUCAUGGUCAGAUGAGGUGCAGACCUGGCAGAUCCCAGUGGCCCCUUCCUCCAUGAUCUCCUAAGACUUACCAGUGGCAGCGAGGGCCCUGGAGUUCCCAAGCGCUCUCUGGGCCCGGCUUGGAGUGCUCAGUGCCUCAGAAGGCCGCCGACCCUCGCGAGUAACGCCUGUGACCCAGUGCUUUUUAUCAGCAACUCUCUUUCCAUGUUUACUUCCCCAGUUAGGUUUAAAGUUCUGUGGAGACAGAACUCUGGGCUGAGGUCAUCUUAAAGUCUUGCAAAAUCUUUUAGGUAAAAUGUGCUUGAUACAUUCUUGCUGAUUGAGAUCUUAACAAUCUGAAGAAUGCAAGAAAAGAAAAUGUAUGGUCCGAUUUUAAUGCCAGGACUGGGAUCCCUGGGGGAGAAAGGGAACUGGGAUUCCUGCAGUGAGAGAAGGGGGUGGGCCUGUGCCGAGGGAUGUUAAUGCCCCCGCUUACUGGGCACUCUGUGUCAGGCCCCUUACGGGCAUUCUCUCAGGAGCCCUCACAGCUCCGUGAAAGAGAUGUUGUCACCAUUUUCACUUCACAGAGAAGGAAAUGGAGGCCCAGAGAGGUUAAGUAACAUGCUCUAGAUGACACAGCUUGCAAGCAGCAGAACUGGGACUUGAAUCCAGGUCUGUGUAUCUUGGAGCUCUGGAUGUGCAGGGAACCCAGGACCCAGCUGAUCCCUCCUCCAGGGAAAACGUGGAAAGCAUUAAAAGUUUUUGUUGUGUCUGAAAUAUAGAAACUUGAUGAAUUUAGAAAGAAUAACUAAUGGUCAACUCCCCUUCCCCCAAGGAACUGAGAGCUCAUGAGAGGAAGCAAAGACCACAUCCUAAGUGAUCUGAGACUCUGAGCUUCUGCAAGUAGGGUCUGAGCCAGAGCCAGGGUCAAGUGUGCAUCUCGGGUACUGGAAAGAGCCUGGCUCAUAGUCAG